AAAAUAAUAAAAUAAAUAAAUAAAAAAAAUCUUUCGAGCUUUACAGAUGUAUUCAGCCCAUUCGGCUGUUUUGCAGGUGAGCAGUUGUCCUCAUCCCCAUCUCAGUCUGCAGGUAAGAAACAGGAGAAUUGCAACACAGGGAAUGAAGAACUGUCACUGUGCAGAAAUGCCUCAAGGGCAGAAGUGUUCACAAAGAGAGGAUUUGAAGUGCUCAGCAAUACCCCAGCAUGCUCACAUGUCCUAGUUCUGGGGGAGAGCAGAGGUUUGCUGAAACUGGAAGCAGUCUGGAGGAGUGCCCAGAAAGGAGCUGGACUGAGCCUGCG